rnacentral:rRNA from 1 species
GGGGUGCGAGCUACCAUGCGAGUCGAGCGGUAACAUUUCUAGCUUGCUAGAAGAUGACGAGCGGCGGACGGGUGAGUAAUGCUUGGGAACAUGCCUUGAGGUGGGGGACAACCGUUGGAAACGACGGCUAAUACCGCAUAAUCUCUACGGAGCAAAGGGGGCUUUUAGCUCUCGCCUUUAGAUUGGCCCAAGUGGGAUUAGCUAGUUGGUGAGGUAAUGGCUCACCAAGGCGACGAUCCCUAGCUGGUUUGAGAGGAUGAUCAGCCACACUGGAACUGAGACACGGUCCAGACUCCUACGGGAGGCAGCAGUGGGGAAUAUUGCACAAUGGGCGCAAGCCUGAUGCAGCCAUGCCGCGUGUGUGAAGAAGGCCUUCGGGUUGUAAAGCACUUUCAGUCAGGAGGAAAGGUUAGUAGUUAAUACCUGCUAGCUGUGACGUUACUGACAGAAGAAGCACCGGCUAACUCCGUGCCAGCAGCCGCGGUAAUACGGAGGGUGCGAGCGUUAAUCGGAAUUACUGGGCGUAAAGCGUACGCAGGCGGUUUGUUAAGCGAGAUGUGAAAGCCCCGGGCUCAACCUGGGAACAGCAUUUCGAACUGGCAAGCUAGAGUGUGAUAGAGGGUGGUAGAAUUUCAGGUGUAGCGGUGAAAUGCGUAGAGAUCUGAAGGAAUACCGAUGGCGAAGGCAGCCACCUGGGUCAACACUGACGCUCAUGUACGAAAGCGUGGGGAGCAAACAGGAUUAGAUACCCUGGUAGUCCACGCCGUAAACGAUGUCUACUAGGAGCUCGGUCUUUCGGGACUGUUUUCCAAAGCUAACGCAUUAAGUAGACCGCCUGGGGAGUACGGCCGCAAGGUUAAAACUCAAAUGAAUUGACGGGGGCCCGCACAAGCGGUGGAGCAUGUGGUUUAAUUCGAUGCAACGCGAAAACCUUACCUACACUUGACAUCCAGAGAACUUACUAGAGAUAGUUUGGUGCCUUCCGGGAACUCUGAAACAGGUGCUGCAUGGCUGUCGUCAGCUCGUGUUGGUGAGAUGUUGGGUUAAGUCCCGCACGAGCGGCAACCCGUUAUCCUAGUUUGCCA